AUGGGAGGAUCCCACAGAGGAAGCCACUGAUGUCCAAACAAAACAUUGCUGCACGUUUACAGUUUGCACAAGAGCACCUGGAUGUUCCGCAGCAGUACUGGCAAAAUAUUCUGUGGACAGAUGAAACCAAAGUUGAGUUGUUUGGCAGAAACACACAACACUAUGUGUGGCGAAAAAAAGGCACAGCACACCAACAUCAAAACCUUAUCCCAACUGUGAAGUAUUGUGGUGGGGGCAUCAUGGUUUGGGGCUGCUUUGCUGCGUCAGGGCCUGGACGGAUUGCUAUCAUCGAAAGAAAAAUGAAUUCCCAAGUUUAUCAAGACAUUUUGCAGGAGAACUUAAG